rnacentral:misc_RNA from 1 species
GCAUCGAUGAAGAACGCAGCGAAAUGCGAUAAGUAAUGCGAAUUGCAGAAUUCAGUGAAUCAUCGAAUCUUUGAACGCACAUUGCGCCCGCCAGUAUUCUGGCGGGCAUGCCUGUCUGAGCGUCAGUUCAACCCUCGCAACCGGCUUUGCUGGAUGUGGUGUUGGGGAUCGGCUGCCUUCUAGGUGGCCGGCCCCGAAAUAGAGUGGCGGUCUCGUCGUGGCCUCCUCUGCGUAGUAGCAAUAUCUCGCAGGCGGAGAGCGGCGUGGCUAUGCCGUAAAACACCCAACUCUUCUAAGGUUGACCUCAGAUCAGGUAGGAAUACCCGCUGAACUUAAGCAUAUCAAUAAGCGGAGGA